rnacentral:rRNA from 1 species
AGAGUUUGAUCCUGGCUCAGGAUGAACGUUGGUAGCAUGCCUAACAUAUGCAAGUCGAGCGGAAAGUAGUAGCAAUAUUGCUUUUAGCGGCGUACGGGUGAGUAAUGCUUAUCUUACCUACCGUUUAGUGGGGACCAUGGGAAAUCCCGUGGGGAAUACCGCAUAUUCUGGCUUCGGCCAGGAAAGGAAGUCGCAAGACU